GGGAUGCAUGGUGCCAUUUGUGAAUAAAUAUUACCCAACUCACCAUAGGAUAUUCCAAGACAAUGAUCCUAAACACUCCGCCUCUGCCAAAUUUAUGGAAGAGAAAGAUCACCAGACAUGAAUCCAAUUGAAUUAGUGUGGGCUCAAUUGAAGAGGUACAUUAGGAGUGUUGCGAAGCCAACAACAAAACAGCAGCUGUUGGAUGGGAUUAAGAAAUUUUGGCUAGAAGUACUCACACCUGAGCAUUGUAAUAAUUAUAUAAAUCACCUGUAUAAAGUAUUACCUGUUAUAGUCGAAAGAAAUGGUCAAGCCACAAAUAUGUAGUUCUGUACUAUAUUUUAUGUUUAAAAUUUUUAAUUGGUGCAUUAUUAAAAAUGUUUAUAAAAUUCCCUUUGUCUGAUUAUUGCAUAAACUAAUGUUGAAUAUUAUACAGUAGUAAUGUUAUUGAUGUGUAUGAACAGUUAUUUUCUGUUUUAUAAGUCCUGAAUAAGAGUACUGUACAUUUUGAUCAGUACAGUACAUGCAAUCGUAUGUUGUAAUAAAUACUUUUUUUUACAUUAA